rnacentral:rRNA from 1 species
AUUGAACGCUGGCGGCAGGCCUAACACAUGCAAGUCGAACGAGUGGCGGACGGGUGAGUAAUGUCUGGGAAACUGCCCGAUGGAGGGGGAUAACUACUGGAAACGGUAGCUAAUACCGCAUACCAUCGGAUGUGCCCAGAUGGGAUUGGCUAGUAGGGGGGGUAACGGCUCACCUAGGCGACGCUCCCUAGCUGUUCUGUGAGGAUUACCAGCUACAUUGGAACUGAGACACGGUCCAGACUCCGACGGGAGGCAGCAGUGGGGAAUAUUGCACAAUGGUCGCCAGCCUGAUGCAUCCAUGCCGCGUGUAUGAAGAAUGCCUUCGGGUUUUAAAGUACUUUUCGCGAGGAGGCGUUACUCGCAGAAGAAGCACCGGCUAACUCCGUGCCAGCCGCCGCGGUAAUUC